rnacentral:rRNA from 1 species
UACGAACCGUGCGAACGUUGUUCGGAAUCACUGGGCUUAAAGGGCGCGUAGGCGGGCGGCAAAGUCAGGGGUGAAAUCCGGCAGCUCAACUGUCGAAUAGCUUCUGAUACGUGGUCGUCUGAGGGGGGUAGGGGCAUGUGGAACUUCCGGUGGAGCGGUGAAAUGCGUAGAUAUCGGAAGGAACGCCGGUGGCGAAAGCGACGUGCUGGACCCUUUCUGACGCUGAGGCGCGAAAGCCAGGGGAGCAAACGGG